UACGUAGGGUGCAAGCGUUAAUCGGAAUUACUGGGCGUAAAGCGUGCGCAGGCGGCUUUGCAAGACAGAUGUGAAAUCCCCGGGCUCAACCUGGGAACUGCAUUUGUGACUGCAUGGCUAGAGUGCGGCAGGAGGGGGAUGGAAUUCCGCGUGUAGCAGUGAAAUGCGUAGAUAUGCGGAGGAACACCGAUGGCGAAGGCAAUCCCCUGGGCCUGCACUGACGCCUCGAUGCACGAAAGCGUGGGGAGCAAACAGG
rnacentral:rRNA from 1 species